AUUGAACGCUGGCGGCAUGCUUUACACAUGCAAGUCGAACGGCAGCGCGGGCUUCGGCCUGGCGGCGAGUGGCGAACGGGUGAGUAAUGCAUCGGAACGUGCCCAGUAGUGGGGGAUAGCCCGGCGAAAGCCGGAUUAAUACCGCAUCCGACCUGAGGGUGAAAGCGGGGGACCGAAAGGCCUCGCGCUAUUGGAUGGGCCGAUGUCGGAUUAGCUAGUUGGUGGGGUAAAGGCUUACCAAGCCGACGAUCCGUAGCUGGUCUGAGAGGACGACCAGCCACACUGGGACUGAGACACGGCCCAGACUCCUACGGGAGGCAGCAGUGGGGAAUUUUGGACAAUGGGGGCAACCCUGAUCCAGCCAUGCCGCGUGCGGGAAGAAGGCCUUCGGGUUGUAAACCGCUUUUGUUCGGGAAGAAAUCCUCUGGGCUAAUACCCCGGGGGGAUGACGGUACCGGAAGAAUAAGCACCGGCUAACUACGUG
rnacentral:rRNA from 1 species